GGGGGCGAAAGGAUUCGACCGGAUAGAUUGAAGAAUAGGUUGCGUAUUGAGGUGGUCAGGAGGCCUCAUUAAACACCUGGCAAAAAGUUUAAAUGCCGAAACACCAAUGGCAAUGGCUGCUUAAUUGACAGCCACGUUUCAAUAGUUCAUACCUGCGGGGUUAUUGAAACGACAAGCAGCAGGUUAGUUUAAUUUCUUUGUCUGGUGGAAAUUGAAUGAACUUUUAACUGGGCUGGUCGCCGGAAACUCUUGUCUGUCGGAGUUUCGGAGAUAAGAUAAAACAACAGACUACAUGCGUAGAUACCUAUUCGGAGACGUCCAGGGACGCGGGUUCAAUUCCCGCCGCCUCCACCA
rnacentral:tmRNA from 1 species